rnacentral:rRNA from 1 species
UGGGUAACCUGCCUCAAAGAGGGGAAUAGCCUCCCGAAAGGGAGAUUAAUACCGCAUAAUAUGUUUAAGUCGCAUGACUUUAACAUCAAAGGAUUUUUCUUUUAGAACUUCCACUUUGAGGUGGACCCGCGGCGCAUUAGCUAGUUGGCGAGGUAACGGCUCACCAAGGCAAUGAUGCGUAGCCGACCUGAGAGGGUGAUCGGCCACAUUGGAACUGAGACACGGUCCAGACUCCGUAGGGAG